UCAGCAUUAAGAUGGUGAGUUCAUAAGUAUUUUAGUGUCGGUGUUUGUUAUCAAAACGUUUGAACCUGUCGCAAGUAUAAGUUGUAAAAUGUAUGUAAGUGUUUGUAAAAGUUUGAAUCUCUCAGAAAAACCUAUAUUUUCUAUUAAAGUAGCCUUCUACCAAGGCUUAACUGUUUUGUAUGCUCGUUUGUUGUAAAAGUGUGUAAUUUCCCAAGUGUAACUAUCAUUUAACAAAAUAUAGUUUGUACAUUAAUGUUUAAGUGAAAUAAUCACUAAAAAUAUGUAAUGGGUAAAUCAUUGUAGUACUGUAGUUUUGUAUUAUAGGAACUACUGCUGUACUAACUACCUUAAACCGGAUUUAUAUUAAGGUAUUAUGUGAUAAAUUGCACCAUACUAUAGACUGGUAACAACGACAACGUAUAAUCGAAAAUAAGAUAUGACGUUUGGCACCUGCAGACCUCUCGGUCCUGCUGUAGCUAGCAGCAAGGUGUAGCAUAGUCAAUCCAAUAUAGAUCUAUACACAAACUCACGCUCUCCCUCCAAGAGACUCUGGCUAGAACUCGGGUCAUGACAAUUAAGGCAUGAUCCCAUACAGUGGAUCACAAUUGUUAACGUAUUCAUGUAUAUGUAAUGUAAUGUUACUUGUUCUAGUAUCGUUGUAUAUGUUCUAGUCCUAGUACAGUUGUAUAUGUACUCUUAGUAAUAAGUAUUGACUCAUGAAUGAACUGACUCGUUGAUCUAGAAAUUGUAGUAGUAUGAUCUUGUGUUACCCCGAUGGUAACUUACUAAUGAUGUACUGAUACGUAUGAAUAAAGGAGUACUUUUAUGUCUAUAUAUGUACAUUUGAUAUUUAAUUAAUGUUUAAACGACCCUCAGAGGGCUACCCGAAAUCCCACCAGACCACAUCUCAAGCGCGAAAAGGAAAUAGGGCGGAUGGCCUUCCUAAGCCCUUUAAACAUUUCUUAUAUAUCUAUACAUAUAUGGGCAUGCAAUUUAUAAGAAGUAUAAUAAAGUUUAAAUAAGUGUAUUUAAUAAGAAAGGAGUUUGUAAAACAGUUUGAAGAAAACAGUUUGAUAAAUAGUUUGAACAGUGAUAAAAUCAUUGGUUUCCUAGUUAUUAAUCACAUGUGAUUGAUUUCAAUAACUAUAAGAAUUGAACUUGUAUCCCCCCCAUAAAGUAUUUAAAACAUUUAAAAGUAUUUCAAAGGUUAAUUAAAUGGGUAUGAACUCACUUGUGGUGAGCGGUUUGGAUUGUAGUGUCGGAUACCGUGCUAGGUGGCAAACGGAGACUUGUUCACACGCACGAGCCUAGUUAUCAUAUAAUGAGCAUAUAUAUAACUAAUUAGCCAAAUAAUAACUUAAUGAAAUAAGUUGGGACACUCAGGAACAUGUAAACACUUUGUAUAAGUGUUAUAGGUCCUAAUGGUUGCAUCUAAGUUGCUACGGGACAAGGCUAAAGGGGUUUAAUGCACCAAAUGACCUUGUAUAUGAGUUUACCACCCAAAAAACCCCACCUUUGGAGUUUACGGUCGUAAACCCUUGAGUUUACGGCCGUGAACUCUUGACUUGGUGGUUUUGGGUGUUUUGAAGUGUUAAAUGAAUUCUAGAAUAAGCCUAGCAUUGGUGGUUUAAUCCUUUAGGUAGUUUAGGGCCUUAGAAUGCUCCUUUGAGGAGUUUACGGCCUAAAGACCAUAUCCCCUAGAGUUUACGGCCGUAAACUCCUAUGGGGUGGGUGUUUUAAUUCUUUUAAGCCUCUUGCACACAAAGGAUAAAUCCUAGACUUUUGUUUAAGGCUAAAGGGGACUUUAGGCACACUUUGGUGCCUUUACUUGGAGUUUACGGCCCAAGAGUAUUUCUUGGCCGUAAACUCCCCUUUAGGGAUGAUUUUGAUGUAAUUUACUCCCCAUUCAAGCUACAAGUAAUAGAGGGUUAUUGUCUAAAGCCUUAAGGGGUGUUUAGGGCACUUUAAGCCCUUGAAAAAGGGUGUUUACAGUCUAAGAAACUCUUGGGCCGUAAACUCCAAAAGCUAAGUGUUCUUGAUUGUGUUCUAGCCUUAAAAGAUCAUACAUAAUGUCCUUAACUAGUUACCUAACAAGGAAAUGGGACUAGGUAGCUCUUAGGCUUCGUUUUGGAGUUUACUCCCCAAGAACGUUCUUGGGCGGUAAACUCCCGGAUCUUACAAAUUUGACAUGUAAACUAUGUUAUUAAGCAUAUAACAUGCAUUAAAACACAACUAGGAAAGUAGACUCACGAUUUGGGAUGAAAACCCGAAGAUCCGUGAGAGAGAAAUUGGCUUUUCUCUAGUUGGAAAUGUGAAUAAUGAAAUAUUUAGUUCAGAAAUCUAUUUAUAGUCCUGAAAUAUUUUGGCAGAAAAUAUUUUAUUCUGGAAUUGGACUCUAACAUGAUGAAGUGUUGAAAUGCUCAAGUUUCACAAACCCAUGAGCAUCCACUCUCCUGAUAUCUCCUUAAAUGUAAACCCUAAUGUACACAAACUUAUUCGGAAAGUCUGAAGUUCAUUGAAACAGGACUAACUUCUACCGAAUAGUUAAUGUUCGUACAAAAUGGAAAUUUCGGGUUGUCACAUCAUCCCCCCGUUAGAAGGAAUUUCGUCCCGAAAUUAGAAUUUAAGCAAACAAGAAGUUACAAACAAUUAAGCGAAAAGAUGAGGGUAUUUCAGUUUCAUCUGAUCCUCGCGUUCCCAAGUGAAUUCCGGUCCUCGCUUGGCGUUCCAGCGAACCUUCACGAUAGGGAUACGGCUUUGCUUCGUCUGCUUGACCUCACGGUCCAUGAUCUCUACAGGUUCUUCCACGAAGUUGAGGCUCUCGUUGAUCUCGAUCUCGUCGAGUGGGAUUACAAGAGUCUCGUCGGACAGACACUUUUUCAAGUUAGAUACGUGGAAUGUAGAAUGUACGUUACGAAGUGCGUCGGGUAGGUCGAGUUUGUAAGCUACGGGGCCGACUCUUGCAAGAAUCUCAAAAGGCCCUAUGUACCUCGGAUUAAGCUUCCCAGGCUUUCCAAAGCGUAUCAAGCCCUUCCACGGUGAGACUUUGAGAAGGACUCGGUCUCCCACUUGAAAUUCCAAAGGUUUUCUCCGUUUAUCAGCGUAGCUCUUUUGUCGGUCUCUAGAGGCUUUUAAUCGUUCACGGAUCUGAACGAUUUUCUCUGUCGUUUCCCGAAUGAUCUCCGGACCGGUGAGAGUACUGUCGGAAGCUUGCCCCCUGGCUAAUUGGGUAUCACCCACCUCAGCCCAGCACAGAGGGGAUCUGCACUUACGGCCGUAGAGAGCUUCAAAUGGAGCAGCCUUGAUGCUCGUGUGAUAACUGUUAUUAUAGGAAAACUCGACAAGGGGUAAAUGAGUAUCCCAUGCCUUCCCAAAGUCAAUCACGCAGGCUCGCAACAUAUCUUCUAGAGUUUGGAUGGUCCUCUCACUCUGUCCGUCGGUCUGAGGAUGGUAGGCUGUGCUCAUGUCCAGCCUUGUUCCUAGGGAAUGUUGUAGUGAUUGCCAAAAUCUUGAGGUGAACCUACUAUCUCUAUCGGAGAUAAUGGACAUAGGUACACCAUGUAGCCGUACGAUUUCCCUAAUGUAUGUUCUCGUAAGUUUCUCCAUCUUGUCGGUUUCUUUGAUAGGCAGGAAGUGUGCAGACUUGGUCAAUCUAUCAACGAUGACCCAUAUGGUGUCAAGUCCACCCGUUGUCUUGGGCAACUUGGUUAUGAAAUCCAUAGUGAUCCGCUCCCACUUCCAUUCUGGGAUCUCUGGUUGUUGCAGUAAACCAGAGGGCUUCUGGUACUCGACCUUAACCUUUGCGCAAGUAAGGCAUUUACUUACGAAGGUAGCAAUCUCUGCUUUCAUAUUAGGCCACCAGUAUAGCUUUUUAAGAUCCAGAUACAUCUUAUCUGAACCUGGGUGGACGGAAUACCGAGUGUUGUGCGCCUCGGUCAUGACCAAGUCUCGGAAACCACCGUGUUUCGGUGUCCAGAUCCGGUUCAUGAAAUAUAAGGCUCCGUCACCCUUGGCUUCUAAAUUCUUGUCCAUUCCUCUAAGGGAUUCACUCGUCACAUUUUCAGGUUUCAUGGCUUCAAGUUGAGCCGCCUGAAUUUGCUUAGACAAGUGUGAAUGGAUGGUUAUUGAUAAUGACUUGACUUUGCGACCAGAAUAUUCCUUCCGACUUAGGGCGUCUGCUACUACGUUGGCUUUACCCGGAUGAUAACGAAUAUCGCAUUCGUAAUCACUGAGUAGCUCGACCCACCGUCGUUGUCUCAUGUUGAGCUCCUUCUGAUCGAAAAUGUGUUGUAAACUCUUGUGGUCGGUAAAGAUAGUGCUUUUCGUUCCGUACAAGUAAUGUCUCCAGAUCUUCAGAGCAAACACCACUGCUCCCAGUUCAAGAUCAUGUGUCGUGUAGUUAACCUCGUGUGUCUUCAACUGUCUCGAGGCGUAGGCGAUGACCUUACCUCGCUGCAUCAGAACACACCCGAGCCCUUGAUUCGAUGCAUCGCAAUAGACUACGCAGUCUUCUAUCCCUUCAGGAAGGGAUAGUACUGGCGCGGUGCACAAGGCUCGUUUGAGCGUUUGGAACGCUCUCUCUUGUUUCUCUUCCCAGUCAAAGGCCACGCCUUUCUGGGUCAGGGUUGUAAGGGGUUUCGCUAUUCGGGAGAAGUUCUGAAUGAAUCUGCGGUAGUAGCCAGCGAGGCCUAGAAAUUGACGAAUUUCAGUAGGCGUCUUGGGUGCUGACCAGUUCUCAAUGGCUUUAAUUUUGGAUGGGUCCACAUGGAUUCCCUCUUCACUUACCACGUGUCCUAAGAAUUCGACUCUUCAGAUCCAAAAUUCACAUUUCGAGAACUUCGCAUAAAGUUUCUCCUUUCGUAAUGUCGCUAGAACUUGUUGCAGGUGAUCGCCAUACUCUUCCUUACUUCAGGAGUAGAUCAGGAUGUCGUCAAUGAAAACGAUGACGAACUGAUCCAAGUAAGGUCGGCAUACUCUAUUCAUCAGAUCCAUGAAGACUGCGGGCACAUUGGUCAAUCUGAAUGGCAUCACCACGAACUCGUAGUGUCCGUAACGAGUUCGGAAGGCUGUCUUCGGCACAUCCUCCUCUAGCACUCGUAACUGGUGAUAUCCGGAUCUUAGAUCAAUUUUGGAAAAAUAGUUUGCCCCUUGCAGUUGGUCAAAUAGAUCGUCUAUGCGAGGCAGAGGGUAACGAUUCUUGACCGUCAGUUUGUUGAGUUCUCUGUAGUCAAUACACAUACGGAAUGAUCCGUCUUUCUUCUUAACGAACAAGACCGGUGCUCCCCAAGGUGAGAAACUUGGUCUUAUAAAGCCCUUGCUGAGCAGUUCGUUAAGUUGACCAGAGAGUUCCUGCAUCUCAGCUGGUGCUAAGCGGUAGGGCGACUUGGCUACUGGGGUAGCUCCUGGGACUAAGUCGAUUCUGAACUCGACCUGUCGUUGCGGAGGUAAUCCAGGUAGCUCUUCUGGGAAAAUGUCGGGGAAGUCGCUCACUACUGGGAUGUUCUUUAGUUCUUUCGUUUCGAGGCUCGUAUCGACGACGUGAGCAAGGAAUGCAUGGUAUUCUUUACGCAGAUACUUCUGUGCUUGAAUACUUGAUAUAAUACGAAGACUCGCACCGGGUUUGUCGCCGUAGACGAUAAGAGUUUCGUUAGACGGAAGGUUUAGACGGACUGCUUUCUCGUAGCACAUGAUGUCGGCGCGAUGAAGACUUAACCAAUCCAUGCCAAUGAUAACGUCGAAGCUUUUUAUUGAGACCGGCAUGAGGUCGAUUGGGAAUGAAUGGUUAUCUAGAGUUAGGGUACAACCUAAGUAUAUGCUAUUCGUACUUUCAGUUUUCCCAUUAGCCAUUUCUACUGUGAAUUGUUCCUUAAGUGUGUGUGGUUGUUGUUUAAGCAUGCGAGCAAAUUUAUGGUUUACGAAGCUUCGCUCCGCUCCACUAUCAAACAGAAUGCAUGCAUAGGAGUUAUCGAGGAGGAACGUACCAGUCACCACUGUCGGGUCAGCAACUGCUUCCCCGUGGCCUAUAGCUAGUACCCUCCCUGCUGCACCAACAUUCUUUGCUUUGGGGAAGUCCCUCUUAUAGUGGCCUGCUUCGUCACAUCCAUAGCAGGUCGGGCUCACGCCAGAGCCGGGGACUUGGGNNNNNNNNNNNNNNNNNNNNNNNNNNNNNNNNNNNNNNNNNNNNNNNNNNNNNNNNNNNNNNNNNNNNNNNNNNNNNNNNNNNNNNNNNNNNNNNNNNNNUUGUAAGCAACGUGAGAGUGACACAUGGACUAACUAACCAUAGACUAACAGUUGAAUGAGUGUUUGAGAUCACAUCAAGGAAUAUUCGUAGGAAAACACAAAUGUACAUAUUUUUCCCACAGAUUAGUUAGAUGUCAAUAAUACUGGUAUUACUGAUGUAAUAAGUUCAGGGAAAAUUGACCUAACAGUAGGUCUUACAUCAUACCAUACAUAAAAGUUUGACAGUUCUUAGAUUCCUAAUUAGAGUACUGAAAGUUAGGAAUAUUUUACAGACAAGUGCUACUUAGAGCACAGAUGUUAAAGGCUAUUCCUUAACCAAAGGACAGAGAUGUACUAGACAUCAUCUAACGGCGAUAGGAAUUCCUCGGGCGAGCCCUGAGGUCUGACACUUGACGAAACACCUCUUGAAGGUGUCGCUCCUGAGCCCUCUGGCGGGCUCGAAGUUCCAAGACUUCAGCUCGGGAGGCAGCCAGCUGUUGCUGUAGGGUUUCAUUGGUUCUCCGGGUCCGUUCCAUGUCUUCCUCAAGACGGCGGAUGCGGACUGUGUUGACACCUGAGUUGGCAUCAAUAUCCAUGACCCGGUCGAUGGCUGCUCGACCUUGCUCGACAUUACGAGCUAUUCUGCGGAUAAUGACAGGCAGAGCUCGGUCAGCAGAGCCACCAUCGCUGACGUUGUAAAAGCUUCGGUCCCCAAAGUAUGGUAAGGGUUGACCCUGUUCAUCACUCCAGCGAUUCAAGUUGUUUGCCCACAAGGGAGUAGGACCUGGAAAAGCUGGUCGAGGGUUGUUGUUCGGGGCUUGACCUACGAGCGGUAGGUUGUUGACUUCAGGCUCGGAGUCGGAUCCAUCAGAAAAGCCUUCUGCGAGGUGAUCAUCCAAAGGGAUUGGAUGCUCAUCUUCGGGCUCUUCUUCGAUCCACCCAGCAUUGCCUUCAUUUGGAAAGUACGGGUCGCCAUGAUGGAAUCCAGCCAUUUAGAUCUACGCGAGAAGAGAGGUAUAAGAAUAUAGUAUACGUGUAACUAGUAGUACAAAAUACACCUAUAGUAUUUUAAGUUUAAGUUCUACUGAUCUUCUUGUGGUAUUGUUGGUAAGUUUUUAGACUUGUUAACAUAUCACAACCAUUCUAGGGCAUAUGCUAAUCACUCCUAGGACCAGCAUAGUUGAUCAGGCUAUGCCAUUCCCAGGACUGACCAUACAUCCCCGAGCUCACUUGUGAUAUUUAACAAUCGUAAUACUUUUGUUCUUGUCAUUGUGACACUGAUUUUAGUAUGAAUGCAGACUAGUAUACUUAAUUAAAUAUUUUAAUAUUUAAAGUAUAGACUCUUGGUCAGAGUGUUUUAAUCCCUAAUGGGUUUAUAGUUUAGUAUAUCUUUUAUGGGUUGAUAUACUUGAUUCACUAUAAACAAUGCUCUGAUACCAAUCUGUCACACCCCAAAACCAAGAACGGCGGAAACGUUCUGGGGCGGAGGACGUCAUGUAAAGUAUCACAACACAGUAAAUGUAAAUAAGCAAACAACAUCAUCCAUUGCAUUAAAUAUAUAAUUUUAAUACAAGCGUGUUCUGUACAGUUUUAGACACCAAAAAUAUAAUGUAAAUCAAAAUAAUAAGAUGAGUCUUGAAUGCGCUCCAUCUUCUCAAAAGCUGGCCUCGGUACCUGUCUACUGAUGACCUGAGAAUACAAGUUAUUUUGAAAGAGUUUAUCAGCAUUAAGCUGGUGAGUUCAUAAGUAUUUUAGUGUCGAUGUUUGUUAUCAAAAACGUUUGAACCUGUCUCAAUGUAUAAGUUUGUAAAAGGUAAGUAAGUGUUUGUAAAAGUUUGAAUCUCUCAGAAAAACCUAUAUUUUCUAUUAAAGUAGCCUUCUACCAAGGCUUAACUGUUUUGUAUGCUCGUUUGUUGUAAAAGUGUGUAAUUUCCCAAGUGUAACUAUCAUUUAACAAAAUAUAGUUUGUACAUUAAUGUUUAAGUGAAAUAAUCACUAAAAAUAUGUAAUGGGUAAAUCAUUGUAGUACUGUAGUUUUGUAUUAUAGGAACUACUGCUGUACUAACUACCUUAAACCGGAUUUAUAUUAAGGUAUUAUGUGAUAAAUUGCACCAUACUAUAGACUGGUAACAACGACAACGUAUAGUCGAAAAUAAGAUAUGACGUUUGGCACCUGCAGACCUGCCGGUCCUGCUGUAGCUAGCAGCAAGGUGUAGGAUAGUCAAUCCAGUAUAGAUCUAUACGCAAACUCACGCUCUCCCUCCAAGAGACUCUGGCUACAACUCGGGUCAUGACAAUUAAGGCAUGAUCCCAUACAGUGGAUCACAAUUGUUAACGUAUUCAUGUAUAUGUAAUGUAAUGUUACUUGUUCUAGUAUCGUUGUAUAUGUUCUAGUCCUAGUACAGUUGUAUAUGUACUCUUAGUAAUAAGUAUUGACUCAUGAAUGAACUGACUCGUUGAUCUAGAAAUUGUAGUAGUAUGAUCCUGUGUUACCCCGAUGGUAACUUACUAAUGAUGUACUGAUACGUAUGAAUAAAGGAGUACUUUUAUGUCUAUAUAUG
rnacentral:lncRNA from 1 species